CCUAUUUUCUAGAUUACAACUAGAACUAACUAGAACUAGAACUAGAGGAACUAGAACUAGAACUAGAUGAACUAAACUAGAUCUAGAUGAACUAGAGGUAGAACUAGAAGAACUAGAGGGAUCCUCUCUACUUUGAUGAAGAAUUGAAACCCUAGCUUUGAUUCUGUAGAAGAGGUAUGAUCUCCAGGGGCCAGGGGGCCUUGCUUAUAUAGUCUUUUCAGAUGAAUCUAGGCCGUCGGAUCAAACCGACAUUGAUCGUGUGGUUUUCCUUGAAGUAUUAGGUCGGUGGAGCAUUAUCCUGAAAGAGAGUCCUGAUUGGACUCUGGCUGAGGGCGGGCGCCCAGGAAAGGAGGGCGGGCGCCCUGUCCCUGUGUCCUCUCGGCCUCUGCUUCGGUCUCGUGGCUUCUGGAGUCUUCUAGAUGAUAGAAAAUUGCGCGGCACGUUAAUAUCUCUAUGUACACCCGAUGUGUGGGCCUUUCUUCCUUAUUUCCUGAUAACUCCCUGCAGAAAUAGACAAACACCAAAACUUGUGGAAUUCUGUCAGGUAAAACCCUAAGUCUAGGUGUUGGUUGCAUUUGGAUCCUUUUCUAUGAUUAGUUGAUGGUUAAAUGUGAGCAUUAAGGACCGUCAACAAGCUCUCCCAAGCUUAACAUUUGCUCGUCCCUGAGCAAAGAUGAACUCUAGAGUUUCUGCAGUGGUUUCAUGCCUUAAAGGUACACAUGAGUUCAAACAAUAUCUCAUCUCUGAGUUAGGGUAAACUGUUAAGAAUUAAACUUACACAUUUUACCUUCACCAUGGGGCUUGCAACCGUCACUUCUGUCUUGAGUAGUUAAAAGAUAGAACAGUCUAGUCAAGUGCCAUGUCUCUUAUUCUUGAUCAGCUAUAGCUCAGGGGUUUUUGCAGAUUUUCAAAUAAAACUCAGAGAUUCCUUGUAUGACUCUCUCUAGUCUCUCAUUUGUGGUAUUUCUGGAUCCUUACCAAGGCAGUAAUUGUAUAUGCCUUCUCUCAAAGUAUGUGGUAUUUGUGGUAUAAGGCAUAGUGACACUGCCUUCUCUCUCACCCUACUCUAAUAAGGCUUUUGAUAUCUGGAGCUCAUAGGUGGGAGACAGCUAAUACAUACUUACAAGACAUUUAUUGCAUAGUCAAACCAUGGAUCCAGAAGAACAAGUCAAUAAGUCAAAUCAAGAUGUGCAUGUGUGGCGAAUGAAUGGUGUAUGGUGAUGAUGGUGAUAACAAUGGUGAAAGUUUAAUUCUACUUAUGCUCUUUUGAGGGGAUACAUACCUUUCUUGCACUUUUGACACUUUUUGAGGAGAAUGAGAUGCUCUAUGUUUUCUUUUUCUUUUCUCUCAGGUGGGUAUCUUGUACCCCUAAUUCUACUAUCGGACACUUGUCCAUUUUUACCUCUCGUCUCACUUUUUCUUUUCUUCGAGGUUCCGGGCACUUGCCCCUUUUUAUUUCCUCGUAUCUCUUUUUUUUUCUUUUUUUUUCUUCUUUUUUUAGAGAGCACUCAUCUCAUGAAAUAAUAUAGCAAGUGGUAGUAACAAGAUAACUUGAGCAUUUAUUUCACUGUACCGGCGUAGAAUUCGGAGCGCCCCGUCUGUGAGAAGGAAAAGGACCGUUAGGCGGCACAUUUACGGGUGGGAGUUACCUCAUUUAUCGGAUCUGUCCAUUGGUGGGUUGCUGUCUAUAAAUAUCCCGUGGCAUUGCCGGCGUUCUUCCUUCUGCCUUCCGCCUUCUUGCCUUUGCUCCCUCGCCUCAGCUCCCUCGUCAUCUCACGCGCACGUACCCUCGAGUGGCAGCGAAACCACCUUCUGUUCGCCCAAGAUGCCUGUGAGACUCAUCGCCGCCGAUGACUGGCGCCCGUCGUCGAUGACCGAGCGCCGGUUCCUGGAGCUCGAGAAGGAAGGGCUCCUAUGCCAUCGCACAUCGCUUUCGUUGUCAGAGUGGAUCGCGCCGCCAGCGGACCACAGGGAGCCCAGGCCGCCCAAGGGCU
rnacentral:lncRNA from 1 species